GGCCUCAAAUUGAAAACAAACCGUUUUGAUUCUUUUUGAUUCUCUACCGAGACUUUUGCGGCUUGAUAAGUCGGGAAACUAUUUUCCGGUUGACUAGUCACAACGCGUGUCGGCGUCGUCAAAAAGAGUGAGAAAGGUCGCAACAACCAUUACUUUUUUCAUUAAGCCUGAAAUCAGGUGGAAUUACCCGCUGAACUUAA
rnacentral:misc_RNA from 1 species